rnacentral:rRNA from 1 species
ACGUAGGGUGCGAGCGUUAAUCGGAAUUACUGGGCGUAAAGCGUGCGCAGGCGGCUAUGCAAGACAGGUGUGAAAUCCCCGGGCUUAACCUGGGAACUGCACUUGUGACUGCAUGGCUAGAGUGCGUCAGAGGGAGGUGGAAUUCCGCGUGGAGCAGUGGAAUGCGUAGAGAUGCGGAGGAACACCGAUGGCGAAGGCAGCCCCCUGGGACAUGACUGACGCUCAGGUACGAAAGCGUGGGGAGCAAACAG